GGAGGGAUGCCCGAGCGGUUAAAGGGGAUGGACUGUAAAUCCGUUGGCUUUGCCUACGUUGGUUCGAAUCCAACUCCCUCCACCA
rnacentral:tRNA from 1 species